rnacentral:rRNA from 1 species
UACGUAGGGUGCGAGCGUUGCCCGGAUUUAUUGGGCGUAAAGGGCGCGUAGGCGGCCACGCACGUCCGUUGUGAAAUCGCCCGGCUCAACUGGGCGGGGUCAGCGGAUACGGUGUGGCUAGAGCAAGCUAGGGGGCAAUGGAAUUCCCGGUGUAGUGGUGGAAUGCGUAGAUAUCGGGGAGGAACACCAGUGGCGAAGGUCGGUUGCCUGGAGCUUUGCUGACGCUGAGACACGAAAGCCAGGGGAGCAAACGGG